UGGGGAAUAUUGGACAAUGGGCGCAAGCCUGAUCCAGCCAUGCCGCGUGAGUGAUGAAGGCCCUAGGGUUGUAAAGCUCUUUCACCGGUGAAGAUAAUGACGGUAACCGGAGAAGAAGCCCCGGCUAACUUCGUGCCAGCAGCCGCGGUAAUACGAAGGGGGCUAGCGUUGUUCGGAGUUACUGGGCGUAAAGCGCACGUAGGCGGACUUUUAAGUCAGGGGUGAAAGCCCGGGGCUCAACCCCGGAACUGCCUUUGAUACUGGAAGUCUUGAGUAUGGUAGAGGUGAGUGGAAUUCCGAGUGUAGAGGUGAAAUUCGUAGAUAUUCGGAGGAACACCAGUGGCGAAGGCGGCUCACUGGACCAUUACUGACGCUGAGGUGCGAAAGCGUGGGGAGCAAACAGG
rnacentral:rRNA from 1 species